rnacentral:rRNA from 1 species
UACGCAGGGUGCGAGCGUUACUCGGAAUUACUGGGCGUAAAGCGUGCGCAGGCGGUUUUGUAAGCCAGAUGUGAAAUCCCCGGGCUUAACCUGGGAAUGGCAUUUGGGACUGCAAGGCUGGAGUGCGGCAGAGGAGACUGGAAUUCCUGGUGUAGCAGUGAAAUGCGUAGAUAUCAGGAGGAAUACCGAUGGCGAAGGCAGGUCUCUGGGCUGACACUGACGCUCAUGCACGAAAGCGUGGGGAGCAAACAGG